rnacentral:rRNA from 1 species
GACGAACGCUGGCGGCGUGCUUAACACAUGCAAGUCGAACGGAAAGGCCCUGCUUUUGUGGGGUGCUCGAGUGGCGAACGGGUGAGUAACACGUGAGUAACCUGCCCUUGACUUUGGGAUAACUUCAUGAAACUGGGGCUAAUACCGGAUAGGAGCUCCUGCUGCAUGGUGGGGGUUGGAAAGUUUCGGCGGUUGGGGAUGGACUCGCGGCUUAUCAGCUUGUUGGUGGGGUAGUGGCUUACCAAGGCUUUGACGGGUAGCCGGCCUUAGAGGGUGACCGGCCUCAAUGCGACUGAGAGAGGGCCCAGUCUCCUACGGUAGGCAGCAGUGGGGAAUAUUGCACAGUGGUAGGAAGCGUGAUGCGACAACGCCGCGUGUGGGAUGACGGCCUUCGGGUUGUAAACCGCUUCCGCCUGUGACGAAGGGAGAGUGACGGUAAUGAAUAAAGAAGCACCGGCUAACUACGUG